rnacentral:rRNA from 1 species
GAUGAACGCUGGCGGCGUGCCUAAUACAUGCAAGUCGAGCGAACGGACGAGAAGCUAGCUCCUCUGAUGUUAGCGGCGGACGGGUGAGUAACACGUGGAUAACCUACCUAUAAGACUGGGAUAACUUCGGGAAACCGUAGCUAAUACCGGAUAAUAUUUUGAACCGCAUGGUUCAAAAGUGAAAGACGGCCUUGCUGUCACUUAUAGAUGGAUCCGCGCUGCAUUAGCUAGUUGGUAAGGUAACGGCUUACCAAGGCAACGAUGCAUAGCCGACCUGAGAGGGUGAUCGGCCACACUGGAACUGAGACACGGUCCAGACUCCUACGGGAGGCAGCAGUAGGGAAUCUUCCGCAAUGGGCGAAAGCCUGACGGAGCAACGCCGCGUGAGUGAUGAAGGUCUUCGGAUCGUAAAACUCUGUUAUUAGGGAAGAACAUAUGUGUAAGUAACUGUGCACAUCUUGACGGUACCUAAUCAGAAAGCCACGGCUAACUACGUG